GGUGUGGCCAGAGCUGUGCAGCACAGAGGCCGGCCACCUCUCACCCACGUAUUAGCGCAAUAGCGCCUCCACCCUCCCCCGCACGCACGGGCGCGCGCGUGCGGGAGCUGCGGCCAGGACCAGCAGAAGAGCAUGGAGCUGAGGUCGCCCUGCCGCCGCCUUCACCGCGCCCUCUAGGCAUCCGGCCGGCCGGCCGACCCAGCCUCGUCGGCUCCCGCCAUGGCAGCCACCGUCCUCGUCCCGCCGGCGCACUGCCAUCACCGCGCAACGGCGGCGACGACGAGCCGGAGAGGAGGGGGAGGAGGCGCCAUCUCGCAUUGCGCCCUCUCUCACGCGCGCCGGCGCCGGGGAUCGCGCGCCGUGAGGGCGGCCGCGCCUCCCGAGCAGAGCAGCGUGUCCCUCGCGGGAGCCUCCGGGCACGGGAGCGCGGGCGAUGCCAAGGCCGCGCUGCGCCAAGCUCUGGAAGGCGUGGACAGAGGGAUAUUCGGGACGACGUCCGCCCAGCGGUCGGAGGUCCACCGCUUGGUGGAGCUGCUCGAGGCCCGGAAUCCCACGCCGGAGCCCACCGCCGAGCUGCGGGAGAAGAUGCACUUCAGUUGUGUUUGGGUGGUGUGAAGGUGGACGGGUGCUGGAAGCUCAUCUACAGCACCAUCUCCAUCCUGGGGAAGAAGAGGACCAAGCUGGGGCUCAGGGAUUUCAUCAGCCUAGGGGACUUCCUCCAGAUAAUUGACGUCAAAGAGGUCAGUCAAGGCUACCGUACCUGUGGAAUCGUCACGCUGACAGUUCUGUAAUUAUGUGUAGUAUAUCUAUGACGUGCUACUUUGUUAUGAUCACCCUGAUUGGCUGUGGGUUACCAUUUGAUCAGCUCAACUUUUAUACUCCAUCCCUUUUUUUAAAUAUAUGUCUUCAUACAUUAAAAAAACGGAGGGAGUACCUUGAUUAGGUAGCCUUUUUUAAUAUUUAAAUUUAAAUAUAGUAGCAUAGAUCCUGCACGCUGCAUUGCAUAUCAUAGCAUUUGGAAUAGGUAGUAACAUUCCAACAUCCAAAUAAUUGUAUCUUAACUGAGAGUUACCUAGACUAUACAUGCAAAUUGCAUUUGGGUUAUUCAAGGAGAUUCUAAUUGCAAACCAAGUAAGUUUUGAUUUUUGCUAUCACUUGAAAUAAAUGGAGAUUUAGCGUCACUUCUCUACACCCAAAAGGAAAAGGCGGUAAAUGUGAUAAAAUUCAGCGCGAGAGCACUGAAGAUAUUGUCGGGGAAGCUCACUGUCGAAGCUUCGUACAGUGUCACUAGUAAAACGAGAGUGGAUAUCAAACUUGAGAGUUCAACUAUCACCCCAGAACAGCUAAUGAAUAUAUUUCAGAAGAACUACGACAUGCUCCUGGCCAUAUUCAACCCAGAGGGUUGGCUAGAGAUAACAUAUGUCGACGAAACCUUGCGGAUCGGAAGAGACGACAAGGAAAACAUCUUUGUUCUAGAGAGAGCUCAUCCAUCAGAGGUUUAAUAUAACAAACCAGCGACGCUUAUUCGUAACUUUCUGACAAGGAGCAUGGCACUUCCUAGAGGAUUACUGCCUGCACAUCCUACGGCGGCACACACACACACACACACAUGGUUAUUACCAGCUCAGUGCAGAAGUCAGAGGCUGCACAACGUUCUUGCCGAAUUUUGAUGAGAAUAGAACAGCAUAUCCAUCCGUUCUCUGAGAAACAGUUGUGCAAGCUGGGCAUCUUCUAUGUUCCUCUACAUAGAGACUUGCGAAAUGGUCAGCCUUACAGGAGGCAGACAGUACAGCUGCUGGAUAAAUUGUUUCCUCUUCUUUGUCAAUCCUAUACUCCUACACCCUAGUUCAAGUAUUCUUCCUUGUAACAUCGCAGAAAAAACAAUAGAACCAUUCUUCCUUGCAACACACAAUGUAAUGAGUGUACAGCUCGAAAACACACAUUAAUCAAGUACGUUUUUGGUA